CCGGACUCUAACCUAGGAUUCAUCUAUUCCCUUGGUGUUCUGUUCCUGUCUCCACUGAGGAUGCUGCCUUUUGUUGAACAACAAAAAUGGGGAUGAUGAAAUGUUCAUAGUGGACAGUACGGGUACUUCUAAACCCAAGUAAUCCAAAUAUUCUGUGUCAAUAUCUACUCAUGUUGGCGGAACAUUUGUGCAGCGCUCAGUGGAAUAUAAGGAUUAUCCAGGAAGGCAUUUUCCGGAGAGCUGUGUUUCUAAGGUUCACAUGAACAUCUGCAGUUUUCAAGGAACAGAAACCAUGGAUGUUAAAGACCAUUUGCCCAUUGCUGGAUAAGGAUAGCCCUAUGAUACUUAAACCCAAAUAGUCUCAACCUAUCAAUUGGCAUUUUUAGAACACUCACUGGUCCUUUCCAUUACACUAUUUUAGAAUGAUUUAAAUAUAAUUCUUGGAAGGGAAAAGAUCUUUCCUUAACAAAGCCGGAGUAAUCAUUGGCAGGCAGCAGAGAUGGGCUGUGUUAAUGUCAAUUUCUUUACUUUUUACAAAUGCCACCUGUGUCACCAGCAUUGAUUUGAAGGUGAUGUAAUUUUCUUGCAAAUCCAUUAGUUUUAUAGGUUUUUGGCAAGCCUCACUGCUGUGUUGAUUAGAUAUAGUAACUGUGUCUAUUUAAACAGGGUUUUAAAUGCUUGGCUCUACUCUCUCUAUUGGCUGGAUAACAAGACAUACAGUAGAUGCUUUAACUUAAGAUUGCGCUAAGCAGUGAUUUGACACAUAGCUUAGUGUUUGGCCAUUUGUGAUAAUUAGUACUUUAAUUGUGGAGUUAACUGCAGGGACCUGCAAGACAUACUUUUAAGUGGUCCUGACAAAUAAGAUACAGCCUCUCCAUCCUCUUUGGGUGGUUUUAUUCUAUCAGUGUUUCUCAAAGUGCAGUCCUCAGAUGAGCAAUAUCAGCAUCAUCAGGGAAAUGCAAAUUCUUGGCCCCACCCCAGACCCGCUGAAUCAGAACCUCUGGGAGUGGGGCCCAGUAAUCUCUGCACUACCAAGCCCUCCUAGUGAUUCUUCCCCACGCUAGUUUGAGAACUACUGGUAUAAGAGAAUCCCUGACACACGGGUGCUGCUAUAUUUUGGCACUAAACAAUUCAAUGUGAAUUACUUUUUAAUUACUCUUAAUGAAUUAACCUUCUAUAUCCAAGUUAGUUAAUGCUGGAAAAUCCUUUAAUAAUAAUAAAAAAACUAUCAAUCAUCUCUUAAUUUUUGAAUAUUUAUCUUUACCCUGAUAGAUGGUGGCUUUUUAUAAAUGUAUUAAGAUUGAGGUUUGGGGUGCAGGAAAGCAGCUAAUCUUUAUUUUCCUUAUCUCUCUUUCCCUCCCCGUUUUCAUUGUCUAAAGAAGUUAACAUCACAUGCUCCAUUAAACAAGAUGCAGCUUUUAUUAUCUUUUAUCUUUCCUGAGCCCUUGCUAUAAAUGCUACUUGAUUACUCUUGCAUGUUGAG